rnacentral:lncRNA from 10 species
UAACCAUGUCCCAAGCACUGCUCUAAGUUCCCAAUGUGUCCGGAAUUGGUGGGUUCUUGGUCUCACUGACUUCAAGAAUGAAGCCACGGACCCUCGCGUUUUAGACUAUGCUAAAAACAGCCUCAGGACCUUCAGCACUGAUCAACAAUCCUGGGCAUGGGCUGACCGACAGUUUUCACCCAGAGAGUGAAGAUCAUGGAGGAGCCAUCUUAAAUUCUGCCCAGCGCAGGCUCCCAGGAAUCCUAAUGUCACGAUCUCACUGCAGCCAAUGUGACAAACACAGCAGUAAUUAAGUCUAGAGAGCUAAACACACCUCAAAAAGAAUUGUCUCUUGGUAUGAGUGGAAUGGAAUAAAAUACAUGGAAACCCACAAAAGUUUCGAGGUGAACAUAUUAGCAAAAAUGCUCUAGCUUAUCCAAGCGACAGUUCAAAGUGUCAAAGGACUUCUAGACUCCCAAUCUUUCCACCGGCAGAAAGCAGGCUCAGUAGCCCAAACUGGCGCAUUUUAAAAUGCCCUUUUCAGAAGUGUGAUGGAAAAAGAAGGAUGUGUCAGUGCAGGCCAGUGUGUGGGGACCAAUGGCAAACUGCAGCUCCUGAACUAAGAAAGACUUUCAUAUCUUUAAAAAAGAAAAGGAGAAAUAGGAAUAUGUGAUAGAGACUGUAUGUGGCCCACAAAGCCUAACAUAUUUACUGUUUAGAUCUUUACAGAAAAUGUUUGCCAACUCCUGUGCUGCUGAGCCACUUCCAGGUUGCAGAACCAAAGCCUUACAUUCCCUAGCUUUAAAGUAGAGGACCUGGCAAUAGGUUCACAGAGAGGACACAAGCACAGGUUUGAAAGAGGCUUUCGCGGUUGGACUCGCUUUCCUCUGCGUCUCUGCCUUCGCUAUGAGAAGAACGGGCACCGGUCUUGGGAAGAUGGUGAGAGAAACACAGAACCAAGCUGCUCUAGACAGGCCUAGCCUAGACCAGGUGGCCCGCAGACCAUUACUGAGCCCAGCCUGGAUCAUCCAACUCCCAGCCAAACUGCAGACCAUGAGGAAUGUUUAUUGUUGUCACGGAGAUUUAGGGUGGCUCAUGCAGCAAAAGCCAGUUGAUGGCCGUAGGUGGGAUUAUAAUCCCGGAUACAUUAAAAUGCCAGUCUCUUCUUUUCCCCAUGUCUUCAUUUGCUCACUCUCAGGUGAAGGGAUCUUGCUUGGAGGCCCAGACGUUCUGGAUUUUCUCUUUAGAAACUGUGGCUUGAAGCAUCCUCUUCAGGAAACAAUAUUUACUCCUUUUGUAUCUCCAAAACCCCUCCUCACCCCUUUUGCAACCCAAACCCAAGUGUCUUCUGUGUCCUAUUUUUCUUCUUUUG